rnacentral:tRNA from 1 species
GGGGAUGUGGCUUAAGCGGUAAAGCGCUCGCCUGGCAUGCGCGGGGCGCUGGGUUCGAUCCUCAGCACCACA